rnacentral:lncRNA from 1 species
UGCCUGUACUGAGCCUAAAAACUCAGGGUUUGAUAAGGUUACUGCACCAGUGAUACAAUUGUAGAUUUUUAAAAGCCUCCUCAAAGAGACAGAUGUUUGGGCUGAUUAAGAAUUGAGGAGGAAACCUGCAGCUGCACCAAGGAAUAAUCUAUUGGACAAAUAUUUUAAUAAAAAAAUAUGAAGAGAUCAGCCCGACCUUGCAAGGUCUUCUGCUUUAAAAAAAUCUUUAUCAAACCCCUAUUCUAUGGCUUCAAUAAACAGAACCCAUUACCUCACGGCAUCUUUUGUUGGCCCCAUACAAGAGAGAACAAAAUGGUUAUUCAGGGGAACGCUUUCGAUUUUUAUUGUGGGUAGCCUGCACAAAGAGCCGUGUUAUUGUAUUUAAAAGAACCAUCUGUAGCAGAAACAAUGGCAUCAAAUUAUCUUUGAAUACCCACUGAAAAAAACAUAAAGCUUUUUUUUUUAUUCUUCUUCUGUACGGUGGGGGGAUAGAGCAGUGUUAGGAUAACUGACUUUUUUGUUGUUCUCUGGGUGCAUUCUUCUCGCUCCCCCUCUCUCCCCCUCACCCUCUCUCUCUUCUCUCUCUCCCUCUCCCUCUCUCUCUCUCUCUCUCUUUUAAAAAAUCAGCCAUUUGGGGUUUUAAGCCAUAAACGAUUUUUCUUGUUGCAGGGGAUUGCAGUGGCAAAGCUAGGCUAGGUCUUGGAAGCUGGUGUAAGGCGAUGCGGGUGAAGGCAGGAGGCUGAUGGAAAGACUGGGGGGAAGAAAAGCCGAAAUGGAUUCACGGUGCCUUGGAUGAAGGACGAGAGGGGAACUGCAAGCUCCUUCAACUGGUUCUGUCCGGUGAGAAGUGAUCAAGCUUGGGCUGACAAGAGGCUCAGGGAACCCUCACGUUCUUUCGCUUUUUUACCUGCCAAUCAAACUGCUACAAGACAACACCCUGAUCUGGCAUGGACAUCGCGGGUCCAAGCCUGUAGCCCCAAAUCGGAUAAUCUCUGCAGCUGA